GACCCUCCGGUGGCCUUAUGGUUAGAGCGUCCGCCUCGGAUGCAUGAGGUCGUGUGUUCGAUCCACAACCAUGUCA